UUAUAUUCAAACGGAAUGGCUUUUUCACGUCGCGCAGGCGCUGCUACAGUCUUCGUCGCAAAUCCUUCACCCAGCGGCAGACGGCAGACUCUACUUCAAGCCGGUAGCCAUCGAUUUCCCCAAGACGUGGCCAGAGAGGAUCACAGCCCGACCCCAACUGCCGAACUAUUUCGCCAAUUGCGACGUUCCGCGUCGACAACCCUGCAUCGGUCGUAAGACGUGGACUUGCUGAACUUGUCAAAACGCAGGCGCUGCUACAGUCUUCGUCGCAAAUCCUUCACCCAGCGGCAAACGGUCGAGUCUACUUCAAGUCGGUAGCCAUCGACUUCCCCAAGACGUGGCCAGAGAGGAUCACAGCCCGACCCCUGCAGCCGAACUAUUUCGCCAAUUGCGACGUUCCGCAUCGACAACCCUGCAUCGGUCGUAAGAUGUGGACUUCCUGAACCUAUCAACACGCAGGAAACGGGAACAUGGCUAAGCUG
rnacentral:lncRNA from 1 species